GUGUCAGCCGCCGCGGUAAAACGUAGGGGGCGAGCGUUAUCCGGAUUUACUGGGCGUAAAGCGCGUGUAGGCGGUUGGGAAAGUUGGACGUGAAAGCUCCCGGCUUAACUGGGAGAGGUCGUUCGAUACUACCCGGCUUGAGGUUGGAAGAGGAGAGUGGAAUUCCCGGUGUAGUGGUGGAAUGCGUAGAUAUCGGGAGGAACACCAGUGGCGAAAGCGGCUCUCUGGACCAAUUCUGACGCUGAGAUGCGAAAGCGUGGGGAGCAAACGGGAUUAGAAACCCGCGUAGUCC
rnacentral:rRNA from 1 species